rnacentral:rRNA from 1 species
GACAGAGGGUGCAAACGUUGUUCGGAAUUACUGGGCGUAAAGCGCGUGUAGGCGGUUCGCAAAGUCGGGUGUGAAAUCCCUGGGCUCAACCUAGGAAGUGCACUCGAAACUUGCGAGCUUGAGAUCUGGAGAGGAAAGCGGAAUUCUCGGUGUAGAGGUGAAAUUCGUAGAUAUCGAGAGGAACACCGGUGGCGAAGGCGGCUUUCUGGACAGCAUCUGACGCUGAGACGCGAAAGCGUGGGGAGCAAACAGG